rnacentral:rRNA from 1 species
GGGGCAUCCCGAGGUGUGGAAAGAAUUUCGGUCAAGGAUGAGCUCGCGGCCUAUCAGCUUGUUGGUGAGGUAAAAGCUCACCAAGGCGACGACGGGUAGCCGGCCUGAGAGGGUGACCGGCCACACUGGAACUGAGAUACGGUCCAGACUCCUACGGGAGGCAGCAGUGGGGAAUAUUGCACAAUGGGCGCAAGCCUGAUGCAGCAACGCCGCGUGAGGGAUGAAGGCCUUCGGGUUGUAAACCUCUUUUAUCAGGGAAGAAGCGAAAGUGACGGUACCUGAAGAAAAAGCACCGGCUAACUACGUGCCAGCAGCCGCGGUAAUACGUAGGGUGCAAGCGUUGUCCGGAAUUAUUGGGCGUAAAGAGCUCGUAGGCGGUUUGUCGCGUCUGCUGUGAAAAUCCAAGGCUCAACCUUGGACCUGCAGUGGGUACGGGCAGACUAGAGUGCGGUAGGGGAGAUGGGAAUUCCUGGUGUAGCGGUGGAAUGCGCAGAUAUCAGGAGGAACACCAAUGGCGAAGGCACAUCUCUGGGCCGUAACUGACGCUGAGGAGCGAAAGCGUGGGGAGCGAACAGGAUUAGAUACCCUGGU